GAUGAACGCUGGCGGCGUGCCUAAUACAUGCAAGUCGAGCGAACAGACGAGGAGCUUGCUCCUCUGACGUUAGCGGCGGACGGGUGAGUAACACGUGGAUAACCUACCUAUAAGACUGGGAUAACUUCGGGAAACCGGAGCUAAUACCGGAUAAUAUAUUGAACCGCAUGGUUCAAUAGUGAAAGACGGUUUUGCUGUCACUUAUAGAUGGAUCCGCGCCGCAUUAGCUAGUUGGUAAGGUAACGGCUUACCAAGGCAACGAUGCGUAGCCGACCUGAGAGGGUGAUCGGCCACACUGGAACUGAGACACGGUCCAGACUCCUACGGGAGGCAGCAGUAGGGAAUCUUCCGCAAGGGGCGAAAGCUUGACGGAGCAACGCCGCGUGAGUGAUGAAGGUCUUCGGAUCGUAAAACUCUGUUAUUAGGGAAGAACAAAUGUGUAAGUAACUAGGCACGUCUUGACGGUACCUAAUCAGAAAGCCACGGCUAACUACGUG
rnacentral:rRNA from 1 species